AGUAGCAUUAAAACAACUGCAUCUAUUAUCAACAUUGUUUUUAUAUGCCAGUUCUAAUUAUACAUUCUGUUCAUUACCAAUUCUAAUGAAAUCGUAUCAGGCCCUAACACCCUGUUCACCUACACUGACACUACACUUGAAUGACGCCACAGACAGUCGUAACUUUAAAUUAAUGUUCAAAAGUGUUUCUAAAAGCCAGAAUUUUAAAGGGGAGGGCGGUCGUUUUUUUUCUCAAGAAUAAUUAUAGAAAUAAGCUAUAAACUGGUAUAUUUUGUAAAGUUUGACAUAAUUACAAAUAAAUGUAUGCCUAAGUGAC